UACGUAGGCGGCUUGCCAAGUUGGGUGUGAAAGCCCGGGGCUCAACCCCGGAACUGCAUUCAAAACUGGUUGGCUAGAGAUCGGAAGAGGUAAGUGGAAUCCCCAGUGUAGAGGUGAAAUUCGUAGAUAUUGGGAAGAACACCGGUGGCGAAGGCGACUUACUGGUCCGAUACUGACGCUGAGGUACGAAAGCGUGGGGAGCAAACA
rnacentral:rRNA from 1 species